CCUACGGGAGGCAGCAGUGAGGAAUAUUGGUCAAUGGACGAGAGUCUGAACCAGCCAAGUAGCGUGAAGGAUGACUGCCCUAUGGGUUGUAAACUUCUUUUAUAAAGGAAUAAAACGAGGCACGUGUGCCUUUUUGCAUGUACUUUAUGAAUAAGGAUCGGCUAACUCCGUGCCAGCAGCCGCGGUAAUACGGAGGAUCCGAGCGUUAUCCGGAUUUAUUUGGUUUAAAGGGAGCGUAGAUGGGUUGUUAAGUCAGUGGUGAAAGUUUGCGGCUCAACCGUAAAAUUGCAAUUGAUACUGGCAGUCUUGAGUACAGUUGAGGUAGGCGGAAUUCGUGGUGUAGCGGUGAAAUGCUUAGAUAUCACGAAGAACCCCGAUUGCGAAGGCAGCUUACUAAACUGUGACUGACAUUGAUGCUCGAAAGUGUGGGUAUCAAACAGGAUUAGAUACCCUUGUAGUC
rnacentral:rRNA from 1 species